UGGGGAAUUUUGGACAAUGGGCGAAAGCCUGAUCCAGCAAUGCCGCGUGUGUGAAGAAGGCCUUCAGGUUGUAAAGCACUUUUGUCCGGAAAGAAAUCCUCUGGGUUAAUACCUCGGGGGGAUGACGGUACCGGAAGAAUAAGCACCGGCUAACUACGUGCCAGCAGCCGCGGUAAUACGUAGGGUGCAAGCGUUAAUCGGAAUUACUGGGCGUAAAGCGUGCGCAGGCGGUUUUGUAAGACGGAUGUGAAAUCCCCGGGCUUAACCUGGGAACUGCAUUCGUGACUGCAAGGCUAGAGUAUGGCAGAGGGGGGUUAGAAUUCCACGUGUAGCAGUGAAAUGCGUAGAGAUGUGGAGGAAUACCGAUGGCGAAGGCAGCCCCCUGGGCCAAUACUGACGCUCAUGCACGAAAGCGUGGGGAGCAAACAGGAUUCAGAUACCCUGGUAGUCCACGCCCUAAACGAUGUCAACUAGUUGUUGGGGAUUCAUUUCCUUAGUAACGUAGCUAACGCGUGAAGUUGACCGCCU
rnacentral:rRNA from 1 species